rnacentral:rRNA from 1 species
UGCGCAGGCGGUUCGGAAAGAAAGAUGUGAAAUCCCAGAGCUUAACUUUGGAACUGCAUUUUUAACUACCGGGCUAGAGUGUGUCAGAGGGAGGUGGAAUUCCGCGUGUAGCAGUGAAAUGCGUAGAUAUGCGGAGGAACACCGAUGGCGAAGGCAGCCUCCUGGGAUAACACUGACGCUCAUGCACGAAAGCGUGGGGAGCAAACAGGAUUAGAUACCCUGGUAGUCCACGCCCUAAACGAUGUCAACUA